rnacentral:rRNA from 1 species
CGAGGGUGCAAGCGUUAAUCGGAAUUACUGGGCGUAAAGCGCGCGUAGGCGGUUAGAUAAGUCAGAUGUGAAAUCCCCGGGCUCAACCUGGGAACUGCACCUGAUACUGUUUGACUAGAGUUUGGGAGAGGGAAGUAGAAUUUCAGGUGUAGCGGUGAAAUGCAUAGAGAUCUGAAGGAAUACCAGUGGCGAAGGCGACUUCCUGGCCUAAAACUGACGCUGAGGUGCGAAAGCGUGGGUAGCAAACGGGAUUAGAGACCCGAGUAGUCC